rnacentral:lncRNA from 1 species
UGCAAGUGAGUGAACGUAACUAACAGUUCCUGCAAAACAGAUCGUUAGAUAAAACCGUGCCCCAGGCGUGUCAAGAUUUCAACACUUGGGUCACCCAACCUUCCGAAUAAGAUUUCAAGCUUUCAAUCUUAUAAACAUGCAUUGGAAGGGACCUGUAUGUCUUAAAAUGCAAGAUUCUUUAUCAAAAAUAUCUGGAUGUUUUUGC